GGAAGGAUCAUUAACAAAAAAUGAACUAAUAACUAACUGAACGUAUUAUAGUAGUGCUGUAAAGUGCUGCUAUACAUAUUGUACUACAUACUAAUACCUCAUAAACUAUUCAAUGGUUGAUAAAAACUAAAUUUUCAACGAUGGAUGUCUUGGCUCCCAUAUCGAUGAAGAACGCAGCAAGAAUGCGAUAUGCAAUGUGAAUUGCAGAACCACGAAUCAUCGGAUAUUUGAACGCAACUGGCACUAGCCAACUAGUAUACUUGUUUCAGUGUGCUCAAACAAAUAAACACAAUCUAAAUGUGGGAGAAUCUCUCCCAUUAAAUAUAUGCUCCUCGCAGCAGUCACAUUCAUAUGUGAGCUGUUAGUUGUAUACUUUACUUUAUACGCACCUGAAAUCAAGUAAGAUGACCCGCUGGACUUAAGCAUAUUACUAAGCGGAGGAAAAGAAAUUAACUAAGAUUGCCUCAGUAAGGGCGACUGAACCGGCAAAAGCUCAAAAUUAAAAUCGAAAAUUCAAAGAAUCUUCGAAUUGUAAUCAGGAAUACCUAAAUACGAAAAAUAGCUCAAUCAUGUCGAAACAUGAACCAGAGAGGGUGAAAGUCCCGUACAGUCUUUUUUCGCUCAAGGUAUUUCCAAAAAGAGUCGGGUUGCUUGGAACUGCAGCCCUAAAUGGGAGAUAUGAAUCUUCCAAAGCUAAAUAAGGAUGGGAGACCGAUAGCGAACAAGUACUGUGAAGGAAAGAUGAAAAGGACUUUGAAAAGAGAGUGAAAAGAUCUGAAAUCGUUGAGAAGGAAGCGGUAAAAACUGACGAUCAUAAUGAAAGAUCACGUAAUCCAAUUACGGAAGUCUUCUCAAAAUGAUGGGCAAAAUCAAGUCUAAUAUAUCAAAAAAGGCAACCCCGAGUAAGAUAUAAUAGGCUUGAGGGACUAUUGUGAUUUUGCCAAAAUGGUUUUUACUGUCCCGUCUUGAAACACGGACCAAGGAGUCUAACAUAUAUGCGAGUGUGCGAGUUUAAAAACUCAUACGCAAAAUGAAAGUAAAAGGUGCGCAGUAAUAACAACAGCAUCGACCGACCUAGUAAGAAAGGUUUGAGUUAUAGCAUAUCUGUUAGGACCCGAAAGAUGGUGAACUAUGCCUGAGUAGGGUGAAGUCAGGGGAAACCCUGAUGGAGGCUCGUAGCGUUGUUGACGUGCAAAUCACUCGUCAAACUUGGGUAUAGGGGCGAAAGACUAAUCGAACCAUCUAGUAGCUGGUUCCCUC
rnacentral:misc_RNA from 1 species